rnacentral:rRNA from 1 species
UACGUAGGGGGCAAGCGUUGUCCGGAAUCAUUGGGCGUAAAGCGCGUGUAGGCGGUUCGGUAAGUCCGCUGUGAAAGUCCAGGGCUCAACCCUGGGAUGCCGGUGGAUACUGUCGGGCUAGAGUACGGAAGAGGCGAGUGGAAUUCCCGGUGUAGCGGUGAAAUGCGCAGAUAUCGGGAGGAACACCAAUUGCGAAGGCAGCUCGCCUGGGACGUCGACUGACGCUGGAGACGCGAAAGCGGUGGGGAGCAAACAGGG